rnacentral:rRNA from 1 species
UAGGGAAUCUUCCGCAAUGGGCGAAAGCUUGACGGAGCAACGCCGCGUGAGUGAUGAAGGUCUUCGGAUCGUAAAACUCUGUUAUUAGGGAAGAACAAAUGUGUAAGUAACUAUGCACGUCUUGACGGUACCUAAUCAGAAAGCCACGGCUAACUACGUGCCAGCAGCCGCGGUAAUACGUAGGUGGCAAGCGUUAUCCGGAAUUAUUGGGCGUAAAGCGCGCGUAGGCGGUUUUUUAAGUCUGAUGUGAAAGCCCACGGCUCAACCGUGGAGGGUCAUUGGAAACUGGAAAACUUGAGUGCAGAAGAGGAAAGUGGAAUUCCAUGUGUAGCAGUGAAAUGCGCAGAGAUAUGGAGGAACACCAGUGGCGAAGGCGACUUUCUGGUCUGUAACUGACGCUGAUGUGCGAAAGCGUGGGGAUCAAACAGG